UGGGGAAUUUUGGACAAUGGGCGAAAGCCUGAUCCAGCCAUGCCGCGUGAGUGAAGAAGGCCUUCGGGUUGUAAAGCUCUUUUAGUCGGAAAGAAAGAGUGGCAAUGAAUAAUUGUGAUUUAUGACGGUACCGACAGAAAAAGCACCGGCUAACUACGUGCCAGCAGCCGCGGUAAUACGUAGGGGGCGAGCGUUAAUCGGAAUUACUGGGCGUAAAGGGUGCGCAGGCGGUCUUGCAAGUCAGAUGUGAAAGCCCCGGGCUUAACCUGGGAAUUGCGUUUGAAACUACAAGACUAGAGUGCAGCAGAGGGGAGUGGAAUUCCAUGUGUAGCAGUGAAAUGCGUAGAGAUGUGGAAGAACACCGAUGGCGAAGGCAGCUCCCUGGGUUGACACUGACGCUCAUGCACGAAAGCGUGGGGAGCAAACA
rnacentral:rRNA from 1 species